GGCAGAGGAGAAGAAGAUUGGCGGGCGCGGAGAGAGAGAAGGUUUCGCUGUUGCAGGGAACUCGUCGCCGACUGUAGCGGGCGACAGGCCUCCUGCCACGGGCUGCAGUUUAACCUUUGUGUGCCUGAAGCGCUGAGAGAGAAGCGCGAGGUGCUGGAAAUACCCCUUUUGCUGCUGCAGGAAAAAGACCGUUCUGAGGGGAAAGUGCUUUGUCUAAGGGGAAAUCCAGCCCGACUAAAUUCUGAUGCCAGUGUUUCUUCAAGCAGUUCAUCUUGCUGUUCUGAACCCUUGACCUACUCAGACCAAGACAAACACCUCCACGGUACUGUGGCUCUAUUAAUAUUAUUAGCUAUAACUCAAAAAAAGUUGAGUGUGCUUAUGAGAGUCAUUUGUACCAGUGUUCUCAGUGGUGCAUUUAAUUUCCAUACAUUUUCAAUGAGACUUAAGCAUGCUUUGUUUUCUCUGGUACUUUCACUUCAUUAA
rnacentral:lncRNA from 1 species